UUAGAGCUGGAAUGGAGAGGAGCUCAAAAGACAGCUCUGUGUUGCUCCAAAUCAACGUGGCCUGCAGCUCUCAGGAUGCUGUUCUGCCUCUGAAGCCUGUGGAGUGUGAAUUCCCCUUGUCCACCUGCUCUCUGACCCCUCCAUAAAAGUCACUGUGAAGGCCAUUAGUGCAGGCUGAGACUCACCAGAGAGAUUCCAAGAACAACUGAUGCCUCCUUGAAGCAAACCAGGUACCUCAUCUGAACAUGCAAGAGAAACUCUUCAAAGGAUUCCUCGGACGACAACUUGUCUCACUGAAACUGAAGAUCUUGUCAGAGAGCUCAGCCCAAGCCUGCAGCCGUGCUGGCAUUGUACUGCUGCAGACAGACGGACACUGCAGAGCAUCAGCACCCCAGCCUGCCCCACCACACAAGAACACAAUGAAGAAAACCUAUUUUUCAGCUUCCCCUUUGACAACUUAACCUACAAAA